rnacentral:rRNA from 1 species
AGUGAACGCUGGCGGUAGGCCUAACACAUGCAAGUCGAACGGCAGCACAGUAAGAGCUUGCUCUUACGGGUGGCGAGUGGCGGACGGGUGAGGAAUACAUCGGAAUCUACUUUUUCGGGGGGGAUAACGUAGGGAAACUUACGCUAAUACCGCAUACGACCUACGGGUGAAAGCAGGGGAUCUUCGGACCUUGCGCGAUUGAAUGAGCCGAUGUCGGAUUAGCUAGUUGGCGGGGUAAAGGCCCACCAAGGCGACGAUCCGUAGCUGGUCUGAGAGGAUGAUCAGCCACACUGGAACUGAGACACGGUCCAGACUCCUACGGGGGGCAGCAGUGGGGAAUAUUGGACAAUGGGCGCAAGCCUGCUCCAGCCAUACCGCGUGGGUGAAGAAGGCCUUCGGUUUGUAAAGCCCUUUUGUUGGGAAAGAAAAGCAGCAGGUUAAUACCCCGCUGUUCUGACGGUACCCAAAGAAUAAGCACCGGCUAACUUCGUG